UUUGAGAUUGCUGCAGAAUAUGCUUGGAAUGCAAUAUGCUGAGAUAAGAAAGAAUAGCCUGAAAAAGCCCCAGCCCCAGCCUUGUUCCUGUCCUUCUUAAGGAACACAUCUGAAGCUAGGGAGGAACUGCCCAGACUUUGUUCCUUUGCCCUGGAAGCACAAUGUACUUCGAACAUUUUUCUGGGGCAAAACCCCGGGUCUUCAGCUUUGAGAAGAAGUGGUUCCAGAUGUGAGGACCUAGCACCAGCACCUUCAUCUUCUAGAGGCUUCUUUAGCCAUCCACUAUCCCAAGACUUGGGUUUUAGGGCUCCGGAACCUGUGCUUCAAUUGUGAGAAAUACAGAGGCAUGGUGGACUCCUUUAUGGACUGGCACAAUGACACAGAAGUCACAGUCCUUUCACAUGCCACAGACCUGUUCUUUAAGAUCCUCAAGAGCCAAACGAUUUGGCACCUCUCCCAUCUCAAAGAAAAGGAUCAGAUAUGUUAAAAGAUGUCACACUUGAUGGACAGUUGACGAACUAUCCACCAUGAAACUUUUGAUUGCCCAGUAUAUUCCUGUUACCAUCUCCAAUCUGCUCUACAUCAGUUCCUUGUUCCACCCAUCAGAACUAAUGGACUCUUCUGGUCCCAAUGCUGGCCUUCCCCAGCAGCAGAAAAUGUGACAAUCAUCUUCCUACCUGAAAGGGUGGCAAAGUUUGUUUCUUUCCUGGUUCUUCCCACUGAAGACUGAAAUACUCUACUCUUAGCUGCUGGUUAUUCGUGUCCUGUGCUGUCAGAACUGUGCACACAGUUGACAUCUCCAUCCCUUGUCUCGUAGCUUCCCAUUAGUGAGCCUUCCUGCCUGGUCUCCUUUCUGCCUCUCUGCCCCCAACCCCUGGUUUUCUUUGGCUUAAAUUUCUGAAAACCUCAGGUCUGGGAGGAAAGGCGUUAACGAUACAUUUGACCAGGUUAUCACCUAUUUAGCAGCACAAGAAAAUUUUUGUGAGAAGGUCUCAUCCCUAUGGGGCAAUGCCCUGCCCCCUUGACUUAGUGAGGAAAGUUCAGGCAGCAUUAGGGAGAGGAGCAUGACAGAGGCCUUCAUGGAGCCACAGCCUGCAGGUAGCUGGCUACUGUACACAGGAAAAAGGCUGUUUCCAUAAUCAUCACCAAGAGGAUUUUUUUCUCUCUGCUCUAAGAAAGCAAAGGAAUUUGAAAUGAGGCCAUUUGGUGACAGUUUGAUCAAACUCACCCCCCCACCCUUUCAGAAUCAUGAAUCAGUCAUGAACACGGUAAGUUAAAGCAAGAGUUGAUUUCCCUAGGGCUAUUUUUGAAGUUCUGUUGUUCCCCUUUCCCACCUCCUUCCAUUUAACAUUCAUGAGUCAAGGUGUGGGGAGAACACACCGACCUUCACCUGGAAAGAAUGUACUGACAGUUGAUAUAUGGGCAGGUAAGCUUUGGAAAGGCUGCUGUUGCUGCAGUUCAGCAUACCAAGCCCCGUUUGGGUGAUGGGGCUUACCGCUGAGGUGUUUCACUAGAAACCUUGCUAUUUCUUGGUGCAGUUUCAAGGAUUAAGGCGCUAUGGCUCCAUACCUUUCUAAAGACAUCGUACCCUCUUUCUUCUUUUGUCCCCAAAGAGAUCUUUAAACACAGCACAUUUGCUUUCACUCUCUUUAGAUCCUCAUGGCACGCCUGUAAAAUACACAGGUCUAGCCCACUCCUCCAAACACAGAAAUUAGUGCACAGAAAGGUGAAAGGUCACAUACCUAGUAUGUGAUCACGUUUCAUAUGUCUUAAACCCAUGUCUAGACGUCCAGACUCAUUUUGCUAUCCGGUGCCACUUUGCUUGUUUUUAGAAUGAAAGGAAUUUGGUGUGACAUACUAUGGGCUUUCUGCAACUCUUAACAACACAAGAAACCAAAGCCAGUCUUUUGGGUUGGUAUGAUUUGAAGAGUGCUGGGGAACAGUGUCCCUCCGUCUCAUAGUAGCCAGAAUAGAAGAUAUAUGCCUGUGUGUGUAGGGGGAUGGUAGGGAAUAAGAUGUGGAGGACUAUAAACCGUUCGUUCAUUCGUU